rnacentral:rRNA from 1 species
UACGUAGGUCCCGAGCGUUGUCCGGAUUUAUUGGGCGUAAAGCGAGCGCAGGUGGUUUAUUAAGUCUGGUGUAAAAGGCAGUGGCUUAACCAUUGUAUGCAUUGGAAACUGGUAGACUUGAGUGCAGGAGAGGAGAGUGGAAUUCCAUGUGUAGCGGUGAGAUGCGUAGAUAUAUGGAGGAACACCGGUGGCGAAAGCGGCUCUCUGGCCUGUAACUGACACUGAGGCUCGAAAGCGUGGGGAGCAAACAGG